rnacentral:rRNA from 1 species
UACGUAGGGUGCGAGCGUUGUCCGGAAUUACUGGGCGUAAAGAGCUCGUAGGCGGUCUGUCGCGUCGGCUGUGAAAACCCGGGGCUCAACCCCGGGCCUGCAGUCGAUACGGGCAGACUAGAGUGUGGUAGGGGAGACUGGAAUUCCUGGUGUAGCGGUGAAAUGCGCAGAUAUCAGGAGGAACACCGGUGGCGAAGGCGGGUCUCUGGGCCAUAACUGACGCUGAGGAGCGAAAGCGUGGGGAGCGAACAGG